UACGGAGGGUGCAAGCGUUAUCCGGAUUCACUGGGUUUAAAGGGUGCGUAGGUGGGUUGGUAAGUCAGUGGUGAAAUCUCCGUGCUUAACAUGGAAACUGCCAUUGAUACUACUGAUCUUGAAUUUUCAGGAGGUAAGCGGAAUAUGUCAUGUAGCGGUGAAAUGCUUAGAUAUGACAUAGAACACCAAUUGCGAAGGCAGCUUACUACAGGAAUAUUGACACUGAUGCACGAAAGCGUGGGGAGCAAACAGG
rnacentral:rRNA from 1 species